rnacentral:rRNA from 1 species
CUGCAGAGAGCGGGAGUGCCUUCGGGAGCCAGACACAGGUGCUGCAUGGCUGUCGUCAGCUCGUGUCGUGAGAUGUUGGGUUAAGUCCCGUAACGAGCGCAACCCUUGUCCCUAGUUGCCAGCGAUUCGGUCGGGAACUCUAGGGAGACCGCCGGUGAUAAACCGGAGGAAGGGGGGGAUGACGUCAAGUCAUCAUGGCCCUUAUGGCCAGGGCUACCCACGUGCUACAAUGGUCGGUACAGAGGGCAGCGAAACCCCGAGGUGGAGCAAAUCCCAAAAAGCCGAUCUUAGUCCGGAUUGCAGUCUGCAACUCCACUGCAUGAAGUCGGAAUCCCUAGUAAUCCCGAAUCAAAAUGUCCCGGUGAAUACGUUCCCGGGCCUUGUACCCCCCGAA